CCAGGACGUGGCCACCAAUGUCAACUACAAGCAACCAAUACACCACUACACAUACCUGCCGGAUUCCUUGAGUCUUGAGCACACGAGGAAUGCCAAUCAAAUUCAGAGCGAUAAUGUGUACAAAGACGAGUACAACAGCUUCUUCAAGGGCAUCGGGUGGAUCCCCAUCGGCUCGCUGGAGGUGGAGAAGGCCAAGAAAGCAGGCGAUGCUCUGAACGAGAGGAAGUAC
rnacentral:lncRNA from 1 species